ensembl:lncRNA
UUUUUAAAUUUGCCUUAUCAAUGUGGCAGCAAUUUUUCCAAAACAUGUGGUUUCCUUUUCUCUUCUGCCCUUCAGAUAGAGCUUCCAUUUCUCUUUUUAUUUAAAAUUAUAGUAGGGGUUGGCCCAGUGGUACAGCGGUUAAGUGCACACAUUCUGCUUCAGCUGUCCAGGGUUUGCCAGUUCGGAUCCUGGGUGUGGACCUACACACUGCUUGUCAAGCUAUGCUGUGGCAGGCAUCCCACAUAUAAAGUAGAGGAAGAUGGGCACAGAUGUUAGCUCAGGGCCAGUCUUCCUCAGUGAAAAGAGGAAGAUUGGCAGCAGAUGUUAGCUCAGGGCUGAUCUUCCUCAAAAAAGGAGAAAGAUUUUAGUAAAUUGAGAGGGCCUUUUUCGUGUUGCUUUGCAGGAUACUACAGAGUGCAGCCUAGAAGCGUGGCUUACCCACUUUGUGUGGAGUACAUUUGACCUCUUGUGCUUGUGACCCUGUACUGCUGUUAUGGGGUCACUGCUUGGUUUCCUUAGAAACUUAAGAAAUAUGUUGCUGUGCCUUUCAGAAGUGACUGGCAGAUACAGCAACAUCCUUGGCCUGAAUUCUCCCAGUUGGGCAAAGUGAUUCCCCUGGAUUCCCCAGGGUCACUCUGACUGAAAUGAGGCAUGGAGAAGGGAGUGCAGAGAAAAGUUAAAGGGAAAGUGAGAACAGAAUGCAGAUGCAAAGUACAGAAAACUGAGGAAGCAAGAAACGGUAAGAAAAGGAAAGAGAGAAAAGCAUAGUGGGGUGAGAAGAGGAGAAUACAGGAUCAGUGGAAGGAAGGUGAAGGGACUAGUCCAGAGGUCCGUUGGCCCUUUCUGUGGUGUCAGAAGCAUAGGCUGCUGUCUUGCUCCGAGGAUGAGCAGCUGAUAGGAUAACUUCUCCUGAGCUGGUCUUGAGCAGCACAUCUGUCUUUUUGUCCCCUAUUUCCAAUAUCAGGAAGAUUAGCCCUGAGCUGACAUCUGCUGCCAACCCUCCUCUUUUUGCUGAGGAAGACUGGCCCUGAGCUAACAUCUGUGCUCAUCUUCCUCUACUUUGUAUGUGGGACGCCUGCCACAGCAUGGCUUGCCAAGCGGUACCAUGUCUGCACUGGGGAUCCAAACCAGUGAACCCUGGGCCGCCAAAGUGGAACGUGCACACUUAACCACUGCGCCACCAGGCCGGCCCCCAACUAGCUCAUCUUUGAAAAAAGUUUCGUAUACAGAGGCCUGCAGCAGUGUUGGUGCUCCCUUCAGGUGAAACAUGAUCUUGUCACUGUAAUGUGGUAAUUGAUAAUGUGAUUCUGGAGCCAGCCUGCUGGGGCCUGAAUUCUGAUUUAGCCACUUACUAACUGUGUGGCCUUGGGGAAGAAGAACAGGUUGAUGGAAGAACCUGUUGUAUAGUCUUAGCCUCCAUUGUAGUUCCAAAGUUUGAGGACAGCAGAGAUGGGUGGGCUUUGCCUGCCCAGCACGCAUUCUCUCUUCUUAGCCACGGCCACAGCAUGGCCACUAACAGAUGAGUGGUGUACGUCCGUGCCCAGGAUCCAAACCCAGGCAGCCAAAGCAGAGCAUGCCAAACUUAACCACGAGGCCACCGGGGCUGGCCCAAGGACCCUCUUAAUGGUGAAAUUUUCGGUACAAGAAUUUUCUUUGUUCUUUUAGGAUGAACUUUGAAGUCAUUGUGCCAAGUCCUGCUUGUUCCUUUGGACUACACAGUGGGAGCUGGAAACAUGGGUGACCCCAGUAGGGGCUUUUGUAUUCAUAAGCACCAGGCUUACGAAUACAAACACAGCAAGUCCCAGGAGCUGGUUUUGGUGGGGCUGGACUUCUCCUCCAUGCAGAAUCACAUGGCCUCUUUAGGAAGAAGCCCCUCGCCGCCAUUGACCUCCACUUGGGGCAUCCUCCUGUCUCCAGUCCAAAGACAAUCCUAUGGACCUCAGAGCUCUUGUGUCUCUGCUGCUGCAGCACCCAUCCAUAUGUGCCCCACUGUGGCCGAGCCAGCCUGUACUGGGGUGUUCCUGUCCAUCUUGCAGGGGACUCUGCCUCCAGCCAGUGCCCCCUCCAAGCCUGGUCUCCUCUAAGGAUUUCCUGUGGGUUAGCUCUGGGGAUCUUUUCUUAAUCUGUUCCUACAUGUGUUAUUACAGAAAGAAUUAUUCAUAAUUGCCAGCAUUGUGAUGGCUUCUUCCUAGUUUCUUUUGAGCCUGCAUGUUUUUCCCUACUUGACAUUUUCUAGGUUCUCUCCUACUUAAGUGACUUCUUCAGGAUCUUUUCUAUUGAGGAGUAAUGAACGAA